rnacentral:lncRNA from 1 species
AAACAACUCACCCAAAGCAAAAGUUUUUCAUAUCAUGAAGGUUGAAAGCAAGAGUAUCUCAUAUCAUGCUUUCUCCCUGUCCUUCUCCUUGUCGUUGUUUUCAUCUGCGGGACAAGGAGAAAGAGAGCAAUCAGCCAGCACUUGGUAUCAAUCUUCUGAUCUGGAACCAACUGCCUGGAACCCCUUCCUGAUUGCUUACCUAGCCCUGCUCUCGAGUACUCAUCUUUAACAUCUUAUGCUUCUUCUCCGUCUACCACAUCUGCUU